CCCAUCGUCACUUCCGCUUAAUUAAGGGCUGAAAGAUGACGUCACCCGCACAGAAGAAGACUAUAUCCUUGAGAGAUUUUCGACAUAGAACAUGAUGCUGCUUCACAUCCUCUUUUAGAGACUCAAGGAUUACAAGACCGAAUUAAGCUGCAGGACCCUCCUGAUUCAAAAAGACAUGGAACAUGACUCUGCUUCACAUCCUCUGUUUUAGAGACUCAAGAAAUACAAGACCAAAUUAAGGGUUUGCUUUUUAAUUCCCAUAAUUUUCUGGAGGAAGAAUUAGGGAAUAAUGCAUUGACAAUAUGCCAAACAUCCUAUAUCAAACUGAAUUACUGCAUGUAUUUACAAUAGAGUGUUGUAACCACUUCCCCCCCCCCACACUACUGACCAAACAAAACCCAUAAACAAUUUAAGAGGGAUAGGGUUAUUUUAGGGGUAAUUAUACUUGCUGAUUGUAGCAGUAGUUUUUACAAUUAUGGAUGUAGAUAAUAAUGUUUAUAAUAAUAAUACUUAGAAUAAUAAAUUUAUUACAAUGACAUAACAGGAAUGAUAAAUAAAAAUUCAGCAAUAUAAUUUGUACAUGAAAUUGUGUAACAGUUUUGGCAAUGAAGAAUUUUAAACAAAAAUAAUGAUCAAUGAAUUCGGGGGGGGGGGGGCAUGUGACAUUGCAUCUGUGUUUGUGAGGACAGUAGUCUCUUUCACACCAUUUCAUCUUAAGCAGACGGGAACGAGCUCUGAUCAAAAUUUGAUCUUUAAACUCAAGAGGAAAAUAAUUGUUACCUGGUUUAUGUAUUUGGAAUAAAAUGAAUUGAAAUAAUAAUUUUGUCAUUGUCACUGAAUUAACAAGUCUUCUAUGAUUCUUUUUAGCCGAGAGUUUAGGUGAAUCAAGUCAUUUGAGGAGAGACUGGAAGUACUAGUAGAAUUAAUGGACGAGCAAUAGUGAACAAGCAGCAUAAAGUUAAGAGCAAUGAGACCUACAUUUUGCAGCCAUGGAUCAAGGUUGGAGGGGGUGGUAGUUGCAGGUUUUCUCUGUAAAAAUCACCCCCAUU